UCAAGACGGGGAACUCUCAGGUCUUUCUCCAGCACCACGUCUGCCUGCACGCGGCCAUGUUUCCCGCCAUGAUGACAAUGGACUAGGCCUCAACUGCUUUCUUUUUUCCCUGACCCGGGAGAGAACAGAGGAGCCCCUGAGGGAGCACGGGUGUGCAAGCCACAGGACAUCUGAGGAGAGCACCUUCCUGAGCACUGGCACAGGGGAGUGCGGCUCUGGGCCCAGGCCUGAGUGCUGACCUUCAGGUGGCUGGGAGCCCGGGGAGGCCCCCCAAAGGGGCUGCGGUUUGAAUGAAGACAGCAAUUGUGCAAGAAUGGACAGCCUUGCCCCAGCUGUGUCUCCUGGCCUGAGUCAUGCUGAAAGCAAGGGGAGAGGAGAACCCUGAAGCCCUCCGACACUCAGUGGCCAAGGCUUCCAGUGUGACGUGGUGAAGUCAUGACCGAUGAGCUCAGCAGAGGCACCUGGGGACACGGAAAAUGGAGGCAACCCUGCAUCUUUCUCAUUCCGAACCCAGUGGUGACCAGAAGAGGUGCCUCGAGGCAGUUCCUGUUGUCUGAUUCUGUCUCAGCCUGCCUGCCUGGCAGCCUGUCCCACCCAGACUUCAAGAGCCGGCAGCCAAGCACACUGAGGUAUUCCGGGAGGUUGGCAGAACCGGAUCCUGGGAGAGGAAGAGAGCCACCAAUCUCAGUCUGGAGUCCAUCUCAU